UGCCAGCAGCCGCGGUAACACGUAGGCACCAAGCGUUGUCCGGAUUUAUUGGGCGUAAGGAGCUCGUAGGCGGUUCGGUAAGUCGGGUGUGAAAACUCUGGGCUCAACCCAGAGACGCCACUCGAUACUGCUGUGACUUGAGUACGGUAGGGGAGCGGGGAAUUCCUGGUGUAGCGGUGAAAUGCGCAGAUAUCAGGAGGAACACCAGUGGCGAAGGCGCCGGGCUGGACGGGUACUGACGCUGAGGUGCGAAAGCGUGGGGAGCAAACAGGAUUAGAUA
rnacentral:rRNA from 1 species